rnacentral:rRNA from 1 species
UACGUAGGGUCCGAGCGUUGUCCGGAUUUAUUGGGCGUAAAGAGCUCGUAGGCGGUUCCGUAAGUCAGAUGUGAAAACUCAGGGCUCAACCCGGAGACGCCAUCUGAUACUGCGGUGACCGGAGUCUGGUAGGGGAACACGGAAUUCCUGGUGUAGCGGUGAAAUGCGCAGAUAUCAGGAGGAACACCGAUGGCGAAGGCAGUGUUCUGGGCCAGUACUGACGCUGAGGAGCGAAAGCGUGGGGAGCAAACAGG